AUUUUUUAGAAGAGCAAGUUUAGAAACUUCUGACUACCUGAAGGAUGAUUGCCUUUCCAUGCACUGUACUGUUGGAGUUGUCAGAACUCGUGUUGAAGGCCCCAAAAAUUAUAGUGUUACAAUUCCACCUUCAGACAUGGGUCAAAGUCUCAAAUACUUGCUGGAUGCUGAACUUGGUUGUGAUAUAGUUUUCCGGGUUGGAGAAGAGGCAUUUAAGGGUCAUAAGUUGAUACUUGCUGCUCGGUCUCCUGUAUUUAGAGCACAAUUCUUUGGCCUUAUUGGGAAUCCUAAAACGGACGAAGUGGAAAUUGAGGAUAUUGAACCCUCAGUCUUCAAGGCUAUGCUUCAGUACAUUUAUUCUGAUGAACUUCCAGAUUUGAUUGAAAUUACUGGCUCUACUUCAACUUGCACUUCUACGAUAGUGACACAGCAUCUAUUGGCAGCAGCCGAUCGAUUUGGUGUAGAUAGGUUGAAAGAGUUAUGUGAGGCGAAAUUGUGUGAAGAAGUUAAUGUGGAUACUGUGGCAACAACUCUUUCUCUUGCUGAGCAGCAUCGGUGCCCACAACUCAAGGCCAUCUGUUUGAAAUUUGCAGCUACAAACUUGGGAGGUGCGUGUUCUCCAUAGAUGUGAGCGUGGUCAUGCAGAAAGAUGGAUUCAAGCACUUGGAAGAGAGUUGCCCCUUAUUGUUGUCAGAGCUGCUAGAAACCGUAGCAUCCGUCGAUGAGAAGCCAAGUCUGACGUCUAGCAAGA
rnacentral:misc_RNA from 1 species